rnacentral:rRNA from 1 species
UACGGAGGGUGCGAGCGUUGUCCGGAAUCACUGGGCGUAAAGAGCUCGUAGGCGGCUUGUCGCGUCGAAUGUGAAAUCUCAGGGCUCAACUCUGACAUUGCAUUCGAUACGGGCAGGCUAGAGUUCGGUAGGGGAGACUGGAAUUCCUGGUGUAGCGGUGAAAUGCGCAGAUAUCAGGAGGAACACCGGUGGCGAAGGCGGGUCUCUGGGCCGAUACUGACGCUGAGGAGCGAAAGCGUGGGGAGCGAACAGG